rnacentral:rRNA from 1 species
CAUCGGUAUGGGAUGGGGUCGCGUCCUAUCAGCUUGAUGGCGGGGUAACGGCCCACCAUGGCUUCGACGGGUAGCCGGCCUGAGAGGGCGACCGGCCACAUUGGGACUGAGAUACGGCCCAGACUCCUACGGGAGGCAGCAGUGGGGAAUAUUGCACAAUGGGCGCAAGCCUGAUGCAGCGACGCCGCGUGCGGGAUGACGGCCUUCGGGUUGUAAACCGCUUUUGACUGGGAGCAAGCCCUUCGGGGUGAGUGUACCUUUCGAAUAAGCACCGGCUAACUACGUGCCAGCAGCCGCGGCAAUACGUAGGGUGCAAGCGUUAUCCGGAAUUAUUGGGCGUAAAGGGCUCGUAGGCGGUUCGUCGCGUCCGGUGUGAAAGUCCAUCGCUUAACGGUGGAUCCGCGCCGGGUACGGGCGGG